ACAAAGAAUUGAUAGAAAGAUUGAUAGUGUUGUAGGUUAGUGGCAAUAGCUGAAGAUGCAGUCCUAUAACUCAAGCUAUAACGUCUGAUACUGGCUGCAUAGGUAUUGUAGCAACCACCAAGCCUUAAAUAAUGCCAUGUCUCUUAUUUUUGAAAGAGGUUGCACUGUUUUUGUUACAAAAAGCUACCACCAGCCCCCCUGGAAUUUUUACUGAGACGGUGCUUAUGGAAUAACGGUGAGCGAGUACAAGCCAGUUUUAGCUGGUAGCUGUUGUACAAGCCUUUAGCUACAGUGUAUGCUAAGUAAGGAACAGAUUCGUUGUUACCAAAAUUUUUUGUCACUUGCUUUAGCAUGCCUAGUAAAGCCACACACAAUUUGAGUACAAGUAAAAACAUAAACAAUAUUUUAAGCUUAACAAACAAUAUCUUAAACAUAACAAUUUAAUCUUAGUCUAACUCAGGCUCUGAUUCGGACUGACUGGUUUGACUGUCACUCCCUGUAUUUUGUCCGAACACCCAGUCGACGAUGUCUUCCCCUUCUCUGUCUGUCAAUCGGCCUGCCUCCACAUCUUCUUCCAGAGAUAUAAUCCACACCGUCCAGUCAAACAACCUGUCGAACACUUGCAUCCUUUAAGGAGUGAGUCGACUCGAUCACGGACAGCCUGUACGUUGGUGGCAGUAUCCCAUUUAAUGGACAAACCUGGCGAGUGAAAUCAAUCUUCAAGGAGGCUGCAAGGGUACGUGCUGGCUCACUUCGCCAGUUGCUUGGACUACUCAUAUUCCCACUGACGCCAUGGCACAACUCACA